UACAGAGGGUGCGAGCGUUGUCCGGAAUCACUGGGCGUAAAGGGCGCGUAGGCGGCCCGGCAAGUCGAUGGUGAAAGCUCGCGGCUCAACUGCGAGUCGGCCACUGAUACUGCUGGGCUAGAGCACUGUAGAGGCAGAUGGAAUUCCGGGUGUAGCGGUGGAAUGCGUAGAGAUCCGGAAGAACACCGGUGGCGAAGGCGGUCUGCUGGGCAGUUGCUGACGCUGAGGCGCGACAGCGUGGGGAGCAAACAGG
rnacentral:rRNA from 1 species